UAAUGAUGAUGAUGACGAUGAUGAUGAUGAUGGUGAUGGUAGUGAUGAUGAUGCUUAUAAACAUCGUCAUCAUCAUCAUCAUCAUCGUCGUCGUAA
rnacentral:pre_miRNA from 1 species